CAAGUGGCGAAUUGUAGUCUAUUGAGGCUGUUGUCAGCAUAGCGACCUGGGACAAGUCCCUUGGAAGAGGGCAGCAUGGAGGGUGAUACUCCCGUCUCUGCUCAGGUUGUCUGUGUGUACGAUACGCUUUCUUUGAGUCGAGUUGUUUGGGAAUACAGCUCAAAGUAGGUGGUAAAUUCCAUCUAAAGCUAAAUAUUGGUGCGAGACCGAUAGCGAACAAGUACCGUGAGGGAAAGAUGAAAAGAACUUUGAAAAGAGAGUUAAAGAGUACCUGAAACUGUUGAAAGGGAACCGUAUCGUUUCUAGUGUGUAUCCUAUGCAUAUUUCAUUGGCGGUUGCAAAAUUGCUGGUGCCCUGUGUAUGGGUGUGACGUCAGAGUCAGUUUGAAUUGCGGGAGAUGGGUAGUGAGGAGGUGCGUCACUUUUGUGAAAGUUACAGCUCGCUAUCUAGUAGCCGUGGUUUAGACUGAGGUGCCUACAACAUGCUUUGGGGUGUAUUAUUUUGUCGUGUUAUACGUUGUUUGGAUAGCUUGCUAUGCUGAUGAUUUAUGAUGCGAGAGAGUGAUAUAAACCUCUGCUGUUCGGGACUUUGGCGAAAUGGAGCGAUACGACCCGUCUUGAAACACGGACCAAGGAGUCUAACAUGUGUGCAAGUAUUAGGUGUGGAAACCCAAUGCGUAAUGAAAGUAAAGGGCACUUUUGUGU
rnacentral:rRNA from 1 species